rnacentral:sRNA from 1 species
GCAGAGAGCUGCUGCGGGCCCGCAUCUACAUUUUCUGUUGUGAUGGUUCUUUGGCAGCACUGGAAACUAGGAUUCCUUCUCAUUUUUCCUUUUACAUUUUCUAAGAUAUCAACAUAACCUAGUCACAGGAUCUUCAAAACUUGGUUCAACUCUUUACUCUCUGACAGCUACUUCUACUUCCCAAGCCGCCUUCAUUUUCUGCCUGUGAAACCAUGGCAAGAUCCUAUUUCCUACUACCACAUGCAGACCUGUUAUACCAUUGUCCAUCUAAUACCCAGACUAUUUCAGUAUAACUCCCAGAUCACAUCAUUCUCAUACUUAAAAUUCUCCAUUGGCUCUGCAUUUCUCUUGGCCUCCUUGCCAAGUUCUUGGUGAUUAUCUUGAGUUAGACCUAUCUUCCUCUGGUUUCAUUGUCUAUGGUUCUCUUUGCCUAGGUUUCUAUGCCUACCUUCCAUAAGGGAUGCUAACUGCACUCUUCCUGCAGACCUGUGCUGCUACUUUUGAAAGUGCUUUGCCCAUGGUACCUAUAGUGACUGGCUCCUUUUUCGAUCAUUCACAUCACAGCUCAGAUUUAGCUGGCACGUCAACUUAAUGAAAGUUGGUAGGCAUCCUAUAACUAGGACCCCUCUCUCACCUUCUGCUAAGUAUUUUAAAUUGGAGAUAUUUAUUUUAAUAGGGAAAACUGAAGGAGUCAUGUGAGAAAGUGUCCUUUGGCUAAUAUCUAGUCUUUGCUGAUGAAUUAUUUUCACAGCUUCUUUUAGGAUAGCAGUUGCAAAGGAAACAUAAUUUGUUCUCUGAGAAUUACAGCUUAUAUUUGACCACAAGCACUCAUCUAUUGCUGGCUUUUACUUAAGCUAUUUAAAAGGGGUCAAGCUGUGUACAGCAUAGAUGGAGAAACAAAAGACGAAUGAACUGUGGGCAGCUGCCUGAAGCUUCACAUUGACAUGUUUCCAGCAGAGAGCGCAGGCGACGCGUGCGCUCUGGGACGGGAAGCCAUCAGACUGUGGUACAUAAUUAGACAUGCAUUCUCAAGUUUGCCCCUCUGGUUCAAUAUUUUCAACUUGAACAUGUGUCUGGGGUGAUAGCACACCGUAGGGAGCAUUACAUGAAAAGAUGCUUCUGAGGAGAAGAGCAUGCAAGCUUAUUGAAGAAAAGGAUUCUAGUGGAAACCUCUUUCCCACCAUUUUCCACAGGGUACCAUCUGUUUAUUUCAGGGACCCUCCCCCCCCGAGCAACAUUGAUAGUUCCUUCCUGAACAUGUUGCUGCUGUAGGACAGAGGGACCAUUUAUACAGUUUUGUAGUUCUCUAAUUCUAUGUACUAGAAAAGUAACAUUUAAAACCAAAGCCAAAUACUUAGCAAGACAAGCAGCCAUGAGAGGUCCUGUCCCCACACUCAGUCCCUCCUUUUGGCUCUUAAACUGCAUGUUCAUAGCUCCUCUUUGUACCUGAGCUUCAUUCAAACACCCUAUGGAAGUCACUCUACCACCCAUUUCUACCUUCAAGAUCUAGAGUCCUGCCUUUCUCAUACAUCUCUGCUGUCUAGCAUUUUUAUCUGAUGCUUUUUUUUUUUUUUUUUGUAUUUUCAGUUUCAUUCCCUGGGUUGAUGUGUAAGGAUAUUUAUCGCUAGGAGGGCAUUCCCACUGAAGACUGUGGUACAGGAAUAGGCUCUGCCUAUUUUGGGUGUGCCCUCAAAUGCAGGAGUGGAUCUUGCGGGGGCAUCACUGAUCUCACUGCUGGUCACCACCGGGAAAUGCUUACUUCAUGGAGGCUAUUGUCACAGGGAUGCUAUUUUUUUCUGUUAAACAUACUUUCUGUAGUUUAAAUCUUGGAAGAGUUAACUUUGGAAGAUGGAGCAAUGGCUCAGUGAUUAACAGCAAUUGUUACACUUUCAGAGGACCCAAGUUCAGUUCUUAGCACCGACUAAUCAGGCCUGUAACUUCAACUUUAGGAGUUGACCUGAUAUACUCUUCUGGCCUCCCCUGACACAGGCAGGCAGACACACACACACACACACACACACACACACACACACACACACACACACACAUUAUAAAAUUAAAAACCUUUUAAAAAGAACUUUUUCCUGAGGACAAUAAAACUAGUAACACCAAGAAAUUAGCUUAGAAAUCUGUGUACCUGUUUAUUGUCACAUGAUACCGGAAUCUCUCCUUUUUGACACUUAAAUAAUUGUAUUUCUAUAACUUUUCAUAGUUUUUUUGGGGAUCAUAAAUGGAAAGUCUAAUUAAAGUUGAAGCUAAUACUCAGUUUAUGGGUUUGAUUUAAUAAGUAUGAAAUUAGCUUUAAUAUUCAGAUGGUCUUUUGAGAAAAACACAUUUGUUCAUUAAAUGUGGCGUCCCUAGUUCCCUUCCCUCUGUGGUUGUAUAAGAUCCAAAUGACAGGGUUGAUCCGAGAAGUUAUUAUGUUGUUUUAAAAGUCAUCAAAUGUUUUCACAACUGUAAUCUUAUUUAAAUACAGUCUCUGUUCUCAGAAAACUUACAUUGAAAAAAUAAAACUAUUAAUGCACCUUUCUUGGAGAACUAUUAAAUAGAGAUGUGGAUACAUUUAAAUGGAAUAAGAGAGAAAGGUCAGCAUAAAUGGAAUAAAUCUCAAUGACAUUCAGCCUGUCCACACUUCUGGUUGGCUUUGUAAUAAGUAUAUGAGCCUCCAUAUUAUUGGUAUUUUAUGUCACCUGUUUUCCCUUUGUAAGAAUGGCCAUGGCUAUUCAUGGGCUGUCUGAAUAUGGAACAUGUUGUGCCUACUCACCUUCGACUGCAUGAGUCAUUUAGACAACCAGAGAUAUACACUCACGGAAUGAGAUCACUCCCCCAGACACCAAAUAAUAAUGUCUGCCCUUAGGGACAAGCAGAGGAGCGGCUGCACCUGGACUCCUUGUGUUACACCCUGUGUCUCUUUACCUUUGCAGGCUUGCUUGGUUCUCCUCCAAAGAACCACCUAUAGUGCUUAUAAUCUCUUACAUUUUCUCUAUCAGUUUCUGGACUCCGAGGACGUGUUGCCUCGAGUAGGCACCAUACAUUUCUUAGGGAAGAUUUUGCAGCUGAAAACUAAGAGUUCAUUUAUGAGAUCGGUUUUUAAUAGUUUUCUUUCUCUUGCUCAGCCCUAGCCUGGACUUGUUUAUUAUACUGUGGUCACACAACUCAUAAUGGCUCCAGGGUUAGAAGGACUACAGAGCUCACUUAUGUGAUUCUGAGCAGGAAUUCUGUGUUACAGAACAAGACAUGCUAUGUGUUCAUUAAAAAUCUGAAGAAGCCAGCAUCUUAAGUGAAGAUUUAUUAUAUGUUUUCAAGAUCCUCAUUCCGUGAUCCUAAGGCUGGACACAGGGAGUAGAAUGCUAUGCCUGUGAACUUUGCUUAGCUUAUACCAUGUAGCGUGUUACUCGGAUUUUGGCCACUGUGACACACACUGGAGAUAAUCAGCUUAGAAGGAGAAAGGUUAGUUUUAACUCAGAUGUGGGGUGGGAGGGGUUGUUCCAGUGAGUUGGGUUCAUUGCUCAUUGCUCAAAAGCAAUGAGGCAGGAAACCAUGGCAAGAGCACGUGAUGGUGGGAGCUGCUUGUCUCCUGGUUGCUAGGAGGUGAAAAAAGGCAGAGAAGUUUGGGCAGCAUUGCCUUCAAAGGCACAUUCCCCAUCACUCAACUUCCUCAACCAGGUCCUGCCCCUUACAGAUCUCACUGCUAUCCCACAGAGUUGUUGACUGAGAUCCAAGUAUUCACAUAUGGCUCUAUGGGAGACAUUUCAUUUCAAAAUUAAGUCACAAGUGUUUCUCUUUGUUCUCUCAACAGGAUAUGAUGCCAUAUCAGUUAUUACUGAGUGGGUUCCAUUUCAACAAUAAACAACUCUCAAUCUCUUGUGAGGGACCAAUAUUGGUACCUUAAUAUUCAUGGAAACUAUAGAUUGUAUUAGGUUUAGUCUUUUGUGCUACACAUUCGAUGGGUUUGGCUGGAUAAACGAUGCCAGGUACCCAUCAUGACAACCUUAUGCCGAGUAGUCCCAUGGACCCCAAAGUCCCCUGUGUACUAUUUACUCUUCACUUUCUAUAUUUCACAUGGAAAUUACCAGUUUUUAAUGUCUUCCCAUUUCUAGACGGCAACCCAUCACACAGUAAUUGCUCUUUUCACGUGACAGCAUACAUCCAAGUUCCCCACCUGUGUGUUCAUUCACUUGGUUCUGCAGGGACUCCUGCAGUUGUCUGCAUAUCUCACUUUUUUCAUAAUUCACCCAUCGAAGACUAUUAAGGUUGCUUCCAAUUUUUAAUAACAGAAGUCCCAACUUGUGUGAGUGUAUAUUUUCAACUGUAGGUCAUAUAGUGUAUCAGUUACUUUUUUUGUUGUUGAUGAGAAAAAGCACCCAGACCAAGAGCAGCUUAAGGAAGAAAGGACAUACUUUGGCUUCAGAGGGUCAGAGUUCACAGUGGCAGGGAAGUCAUGGUAGUAAGAAACUGAAGCAUAGAGCUGGGAGAGCACCUUUACCCACAAAUGCAAGAGAGGGAAACUUGGAAGCAGGUCAAGCUAUAAACUCAAAAGUCUCACCCCUACCCUGUGAUCUGCCUCCAUCAACAAGACCACACCUCCUAAUAUCCAAAUACCUGAGCCUAUUAGGGAUACUAUCGUUCAAACCACCACAAAUGGUGAGAGGGAAAUCUCUGAGAACAAAAUAUGAUGUUAAUUUUUUAAACCUAAGCAACAUGGUCAUUCUGUGUUGAUUUGGGGAUAUUGUUCUAUGUUAUUCCAACAGGAAGACUCCAGUUCAUAAAUACCUUUUAGAUUAUUGCAGGGUUAUAAGAUCAGCAAAAGAGAAGGAUGGAGGAAGAAGUCUAUGUGUUUUGCAUCAGCAAUUCAGGACUGUCAUCUGGAAAUGACCCCACUCAUGCUCACUGGUAGCAUGCCCUGUCUCCACAACAGGGAGCCAAGAAGUUCAGCUUUUUAAUUAUCCAGAAGAAAUGGACAAAUGGAUACCAGCCAUUAGCUCUAGUCCCCUUUGUUUGCCCCAAAGAAACACAUCUUACAAGGAGGAAGCUGGGUGUAUGUGGAGGUAAGCUAUUUCUUACAGGCUUGUUCUACUCAGCUUGGUUUUGACUUUUGAAAAUGUCUAAGCUACUGGUUAGAGUCUGGUAGCCUCAGCAGAUGGUAAGGGAUGCUGGAAGAGACUGCAAUCAAUGUCCCAAAGUAUUGAGUGCAGGACCCAGCUUUUAAGGAAGUUAUCACAAGGGUUUAAAGGCAUGGGAGCUAAGCAGACAGACUGAAGUUAUGGUAGUGUUACAAAGUCAGUUGAAAACAAAAGUUUUGAUUGGAGGUGAGGGUGUGGUGGGGAUUCAUAGCAAGAUGUUUAUGGCCAGCUGUGUGAUAGCUUGGAGUUCAUAUGUAUACCUGUGUGCACAUACAUGUCCAUGUGUACAUUUGGCAGAGGAAAGUAAAGAUGAAGGAGGAGAUGAGUAGUGAUACAAUCAUGAUUUAUGCUUGGAUUGAAUAAGAGAUCAUUAAGCAGGGUAAAGCUGCAUUGUCUCUACACUGAUAGUUCAAACCCAAUCAGAGGAACCAGACAUCCAAUAGCAGGAAGAGAUUGCUCCAUAGGCUUUAUCGACGUCAAUGCUUUAAAUAGGAAAGUAGAAAAUGUCUUUUUUUCUUAACACUGGUGGUGAGUCGAACACAUUUAAAGUUUUGCAUCUUCCUUAGGGUUGUAUGCGAUUGUCUCGAAACCCCAGCUGUUUGUGGUAAGGCCGUGAGUGCCCUUUCUGCCACAGCCUCCAUUAAAUCUAGAACCAGGAAAGGGAGUUGCAUAGUGACAGAGAAAGGGCCAGUGAAGGCUGGGACUGACAGAUGGGGAGCAGAAGGGAGGGGAAGGCACUGCGAAAUGAAAAGGAAGCUAUAAAAUUAAUUUGCCCUUCCUUUAUGAAUGAGACAUUAGCAGUUGCUUUUGGGCCAAUUACGUUGGCCAUCACAUUUUAAUAGUGGCAGUUACAGCCAGUUUAAUUAGUAAGUUUUUGUGAGUAAUUUAACAUUUCACUGAACGAGAAACCAUUCUGAGGGGAAAGAGGGGUCCUCUAAAUAAUAGUCACAUCUCUGCAAAAGCCAAUCAUUUAAUAAGAAGAAAUCUAACAACAGAAAAUGGUUGCUCCAUAUUUUUUAAGUGACAGUUUAAUUAGGUAUUUAAAGUGGGAAAAAUAGAAACAGUGUUUACCAUCAGGACUGGUGACAAAUCAGCCAGGCUUACAUUUUGGCUUUUUUUUUUCUUUCUUGCUCACUAGUACUUCUGUUCCAAUUUGCUAUUGAACCUGAUUUAUUUUCCCUUCUUUUCUCAUAGUAGUGUUAGGAACAAGCAAAAGAAACUUGUCCUAAGUACUGCCAUUUUGUUUUCAGAUGCCAUUUUAUCACAGUAGAGACAAAGUUCAAGGUCCCAGGCCUUAGGGGAGCUGGGAAUUUCCCAAUAGCUGAACAGCUUCUGUUGUAAGGAGACAGUUGACUGAGUCCAGCCUUCUCAGAGACAGCUUGUAAGAAGACAGUUGUCUAAGUCUAGCCAUCCCAGGGACAAGUUCUCCAUCUUGUUGGCAGGGUCAAACUAAGUUCAUGUUCCCAGGCUGAGGAACCAAUUCCUAUCCUAAUUGGUAGGAACUCUCUUGCUCAAUUCCUUAUGUCAAAAUAUGAUUGGACAAUGCUACAGCCCACCGUGUUUCCCCUCACUUUAUGGUUUCUUCCUUUAACUACGCUGUACAACUUGCCCUUCAGAGUUGCAGGUCAGCCCCUGAGGAUUAUGUUCUAUGGUCCUGAUCCAUCAGAAGUGGUUGAUUGUAAUAGAUUUUUGUCAGCUGCAUUGACCUGUUGUUUAAGUGAUGUUGGAUCUAAGCGGACUCCAUAACAGUAGUUUGCUGCCACUGUCCUCAUUCCCAUUUCCAUGAAUACUAUUUUGCUCGAGGCUCUUACUAAGAGCCUUUAGGGGUGCAGAUAAAAGCAGCACAGCCACCCACUCUCACCCUCAGCAGCCCAAGAGGAUCCCCAAGCAGGUCAGUAUCCACUUAGGACAAACUAGGAUUUGUGGCUUCAGUGAAGCAAAGAAUUUCAGGACAAUCCGUUUAUGAGACAGAGUUAGAGAAUUAUUAAAGAUAUUUGAAUAUAGGAUGAAGCUUGUGGACUAGUAGAAAAGGGUCCCUAAAUACGUACUAAGACUAUGGGUGUGGGCUUCUCAGAUCACUGGUUUUACAAUUAUCAUAUAUAUCCUGAGGGGCACCUGAGAGGAUUAUAAUUGAAGAGAUAAAAAUUUAACUCACAGUGAUACUUGAAGGUAAGGCAGCUUUACUAAAAACAGUUUUGAGAUAUUUUUAGGCAUUGUCUGAGGAAAUGAAUGAGGCCCUACCCAAAGGUCAUAUGUAUUCUGACCUUCAGCCUGGGUCAUCGCUGCUUGAAUAUGAACUAUCUAUAUGUGAAAGGAAUAUUAAAGAAGUGAAAUGCAGAACUUGGGAUGAUAAGUGGUCUCUGUCCUCCUAAAGUUGAGGUGCAUCAGAUUCAAAUAAUAUGAGGUUCUGUAAUAUAAAGAGAGCUGUUUGCAGUAUGCAGAAAAGAAAACAUAGCUCUUGCUAAGAAUUACAUUAAAAUUCAGCAGUAAUACAAAUAUUCAUAAUCAGCAUGGUCCCAUAUAAGGGCAUAGUACUCAUCCAUAGUUUCCUAGCAGCCUUGUCUUCAACCCUUAUUUUCUAACCACCUCCCCCAUCUCUUUCCCAGGGUCCUGGAGGCUAAACUUGAGACUAAAAUAUUAGCAGAUUUGUUUCUUCUAGAAACUUCUGCCUAGACUUGUCCCCCCAACACAGUGGUGCCAUGCUUAGCAUCAAGGAGUGGUGCUAUUUGAUAAGGAUUAUGAAAUGUGGCCUUGUUGGAGGGAGUGUGUUACUGGGAGUGGGUUUUGAGAUUUCAAAAGCUCAAGCCAGAUCCAGCUGCCCUGUCUCUUCUGUUACCUGUGGAUUCAGAUGUAGAACUCUUAGCUAC